GCCGGCGUGAUGGAAUCGGCAGACUUGACAGACUCAAAAUCUGUUGCCUUCACGGGCGUGCGGGUUCGACCCCCGCCGCCGGCACCA
rnacentral:tRNA from 1 species